CCCACCUCCCACUCGCCCGCUUGCCUCGCGUGGCCGUCGUCGUCGCUCGACGCUCGCCUCGCGCCGCCGCCGCAGGAGGCGGCCGAGCAGCCAUAGGGGAACGGCGGGCGGGCGGGCACAAUGGAGCUCUGCUGCCCCCGCCUCGCUCGGCUGCCCCCGCCCCGCUCAACCCGCUCCGCGCGCGCCCUGCACGACCGCCGN
rnacentral:lncRNA from 1 species